GGCCCCUUUUUGGGUGUCGGCCUUCUUGAAAUCGAUCAGCGAUGCCCAGUUCCCAAGACCUCAGGCCCGCGGGUGUUAACUUUUAAACCUGCUGCCUUUGGGCUGAAGGACAUGUGUGGCCUUGUCGCUCUCCAACCGUCCUUUGGGACAACACCUUUCGCUCUGACCUCAAAUCGGGUAGGGUUACCCGCUGAAUUUAA
rnacentral:misc_RNA from 1 species